CAUCAGUGCAUGCCAGCUUCUGGAGGUCCCUGAGGUGGCCAUCCAGCACGCCCCUGGGCCCCCUAGGACAAGAGGCUGGCAAGGCAUUUGCCAGAGGCUUUUUUGCCGCCCUCCUGAAAGUGCCGCCCAAGGCAAAUGCCCUGUCAACCUUGCGGUAAAUACACAGCUUAACAGCUGUCGAUGUCACAUGAUAGCAACUGUCCAUGAGAGCGACUGCCCAUAUCACAUGAUAGCAAUUGUCAGUGCCAUAUGAGAGCAACAAUCAUGGCUGGGACAGAGUGACCUGCUGCUCAUCAAAUAUUAAACCAUUUCACCUGUACAGUCUACAUUUCAGGGGACUUACGGAUAGGAAUGACAUAAUGGAAUACCCACAGACAAUAACAGAGCAAAAUAGAAUGACUAUAGAUUAUAAUGGGAAGCAAGAUGUAACUUUGAGUCAGAACCAUUAGACAUAUAAAAUAAAUAUUUAGCAGGCAUACUCUCCAAGGUCAGCUGUGAUGUUUAAAAUGGAGAGUGUGUGGGAUUAUCAUUGUUUCUUAUGGAAUGACAAGGGUGAAUGACAGAAUGGAAUGCCCAUAGAGUAUAAUGUUUAUCAACCUUUUUGCAGGAAAAUCAGAAAGAUAGAGAGAGUUAAAGGCUUUGCCUUUAAAUGAGGCAGUUGUUUAAUGGUACAGGAAG